rnacentral:rRNA from 1 species
AGCAGCCGCGGUAAGUACCGGCGGCUCGAGUGGUGGGCCACUUUAUUGGGCGUUAAAGCGUUCGUAGCUGGGUUAGUUAAGUCCCUUGGGAAAUCCGACAGCUUAACUGUCGGGCGUCUAAGAGAUACUGGUAAUCUUGGAACCGGGAGAGGUGAGGGGUACUUCGGGGGUAGGAGUGAAAUCCUGUAAUCCUCGAGGGACCACCUGUGGCGAAGGCGCCUCACCAGAACGGCUUCGACAGUGAGGGACGAAAGCUGGGGGAGCAAACCGGAUUAGAUACCCGGGUAGUCCCAGCCGUAAACGAUGUGCGUUAGGUGUAUCGGUGACCACGAGUCACCGAGGUGCCGAAGGGAAACCGUGAAACGUACCGCCUGGGAAGUACGGUCGCAAGGCUGAAACUUAAAGGAAUUGGCGGGGGAGCACCACAACAGGUGGAGCCUGCGGUUUAAUUGGACUCAACGCCGGAAAUCUCACCGGAUAAGACAGCAGAAUGAUUGCCGGGCUGAAGACUCUGCAUGACUAGCUGAGGGGAGGUGCAUGG